rnacentral:rRNA from 1 species
CACGUAGGGUGCAAGCGUUGUCCGGAAUUAUUGGGCGUAAAGAGCUCGUAGGCGGUUUGUCGCGUCGAAUGUGAAAACCCGGGGCUCAACCCCGGGCCUGCAUUCGAUACGGGCAGACUAGAGUUCGGUAGGGGAGUCUGGAAUUCCUGGUGUAGCGGUGAAAUGCGCAGAUAUCAGGAGGAACACCGGUGGCGAAGGCGGGACUCUGGGCCGAUACUGACGCUGAGGAGCGAAAGCGUGGGUAGCGAACAGG